rnacentral:rRNA from 1 species
UACGAAGGGGGCUAGCGUUGUUCGGAAUUACUGGGCGUAAAGCGCGCGUAGGCUGUGUCGCAAGUCAGGGGUGAAAUCCUGGGGCUUAACCCCAGAACUGCCUUUGAAACUGCGAUGCUGGAAUCUCAGAGGGGAUAGCGGAAUUCCAAAUGUAGGGGUGAAAUCCGUAGAUAUUUGGAGGAACACCGGUGGCGAAGGCGGCUAUCUGGAUGAGUAUUGACGCUGAGGCGCGAAAGCGUGGGGAUCAAACAGG